ACUGGGGCCACUUGAGGGGGUCUUGUAGAAGAGGAAAACUUGUGGCGCAAUGGGAUGUCCAGGGACACAGAUAGCCAGGUGCUGGGCCUCAGGAUGGAAUCCAGCCACCCCUGCUGGGUGACACACAGUGACCUUCCUCAGGAGAGUGGAAGCUCUGCAGGGUGAGAAUGAAACAUGGGUGGUCAGUGGGGAUAAUAGGACCUACCUAGCUGGGCUGUUAUGAAGGCUAAACGAGGAAACACUUGUAAAGUUCUCAGAACUGUGCCUCGAACAAGCUUUGCAGAUUUGAUAUAGAAAUCCAGGAGAAAAUUCUAUGAGAAGAGCUCUUACCAUAUAAUGAAGACAAGACUUGAGCAAGACUUUGUAAUUUUCUACUAAUCAAAAUUCAAAGUAUGAGUCUUGACAGAAGCCAAACAAAGCCUCCUGCCUGGAACUCUGGAACUCUUCUCUUUUUGUUCUGAAGCCUUGGACCCAUCUUGCCUUUUGCUAUGAGUAAAGUUUACCGCAGAGGCUUGGUAUCUUAGUUUAGAGUUCACAUUUCUGGUUUUCGAUGGCUGUAGAUCAAUCCUAGUGGAAAACUCCACAAAGUGCAGAGAAAGUUGUCCUUGUGAAGUCACCUUGCAGAGGAGGAAAGCGGUCUCUAAAUAAGAAAUCUAUAUUCCAGUCUGACAGCUCGUACGGCGUGGGGUAUGAAUUUCUCCUCUGAAAGUCUGAUGGCCAUCCUUGUUCUUCCUCAGCAGGGCUGCCUGAGUAUCUUUGAGAAAUGCCCAAGGGUCCUCUUGAGGAAGGGGAUCGUCCAUUGGCACCUGGAGCCUUCCAUGGAAACUGGUUGGCUGGCUCUCCAUUUUACGCUAGAGUCAUCUCAGACAUCAGUUAGCUACCAAGGCAAGUCGUUAACAUGCAUGACAAUGAAUCCAGUCUUGGCAAUCAUCGUAAUUAAGUGUGCACACUGUAUCAGGGUGCUGAUUAAGUGGCUUCAAUUUUAUGGGUAUGAUUCCUAAUGAUCGUUCUUUUUACUGAUUAAGAUGCAUUAAGCCUCAGAGGACAUUGGGGAUUCCUAUGCACUUGGAAGGAGGAGACUGAAGCCACACAGUGUCUGGAAAGGAAAACCCUUGAUUAAUCACCAGAGAAGAGGAAAGGAAUUUUCUAAGGUGUUUUCUAAGCUGAGUUCAUCCCAAAGAUGUCAGAGUGCUAGAAAAGAGAUGACUCCAAACAAGUCCAACCUGACUAUGGCAUUUGAGAGUUGAAUGUGGCAUUGGAGCUUGUUUUGUUUUUGUUUUCCUGAAAAAAUUAACCAAGGGAAAUUUCAAAUUUUUCAGCCUGUCUAAAUACGGACAAAUGUCCCAAGAAGCUAAAAGCACCAGUAUAUGCCACCCUUGGUUCCUGUCCUCAUCCCUAUCCCUGCACAGUGUAGCUUUCACGAUUACCAACCAACACCCAUCAUCUCCUCUAACCAUCACCCAUGGGCAUCCUGCAAGACACAUACAAGAAAAUGACACCGCAUUUCACUUACCUGAAAUCAAUAUAGUACGACUGGAAAAAGAAAUAAAGGUUUAUCCCUUUGUCCUUCUCAUGUUUAAAAUACCCAUGGACUCAUACAUGACCCAGAAAAGGGAGCUCACAGCCAAAUUACAGAGAGGAGCAGAAGUUUGUCUUGGGUUUUGAGUUUUCUGAUGAGUUAAUGGAGGUGUGUGGGAUGUAGGGUAUUUUUAACACUUGAGAAGCCCCCAGCUUUGCUUCAUUCUCUGUCUCUCUCUCUCUGUCAUAAUCACCUCUCUUGCUAAAAGAGAAGCUCACCAUCCCAUAAGACACCAUGCCAGAAGCAGGGAUGUCCUCACCCAUCACCACCUCCUCUCUAAUCUCACUGCCCCACUUCCCCUCCAUAACCUGCUCCUCCUCCCCUCCUCUCCCGUCCCCUCCGCUCCGCUCCCUUCCCUUCCCCUUCCCUCUCCUCCCAUCCUCUUCCUCACUGUCUUUCUAGCAUAUCCACUUCUCUAUCCCCAUUGAUGUGACUUUAGCAGGAUCCUCAUUCACAACUUCAGCUAUUGCAUUUUCUCCCAACUGGGCUCCUGCUUCUUUUCUUAUGGGAUCAUAAUCCCUCCUUCAUUCAGCAACCAAGAUGAAUUUUAUGUUGUACAAAUAUGGUUAUAUUCACUCCUUGUUUAAAGUAAAUGCCUCUUAAUUUCCUGGGUAUAAAGCAAAAAUACAUUAGCUUAGCUUAGAAGUCUUCCAUGGUCAGCAUCUCUCUGCCCCCAGCACUCUCUGACUUCCAGCCAUAGAGACAUUCCUGCAAUGUCCCCAUAUACUAUACCUUCUUGUGUCCCCAUGCAUUGGACACAGAUAGGGCUCCCCAUUGCUCUUAGAAUAAAUGUUCAUGUACCUCUACUUUGUGGCACUUAAACUACAGCUGUGCGUUUUUACACUUACCUGUGCAUGUGUUUUGCUUCCUUGACUUUCUGUAGACUCAAGAGGGCCGCAGUCUUGUAUUGGUGGUGUUUGUUGGUUUGAGUCGUUCCUUACUAUGUUAUCCCCAAAAUUAGCACAACAUCUGGCCUAUAGUGGAAGCUCAGUAAGUAAAUGUUUAAGGAAUUAAUAAAUUUUAGCAUCUCUUGAGACUUUUAUUGAGCUUGUAAUGCAUAGUUAUAGCAUAAAUGGUUGACGAAUGAAAUGGCCAAGCCAUCUGGCUAGAUGCCAAGGUAUAGUGGCUUUGGAAUCUGGACCCUGUCUACUCCAUCUUCUUGUAUUCAAUAUUCAUUCUGAUUUUGUGGUAAUGUAGAAACUUCUUCUUGUUCCUUGUUCCACGGAACACCCUACCCCAGGGGAAACUGAGGAAAGGGGGAGAGGAGAUGGCCCCCACACUCCUGCUGCUUCCUCUGCAAUUUUCCUUUUCCCUUCUCAACCCAGCUUUAGCCAGACGUCUGACCUCUGUACCUCAGUGGAUCCAACCACCUACCUGAUUAGAUGAGAUGAGGUGGGACAAGGACACGGAAGCCCAAAUCAGAAGAGAAAUUUCAAGAGCUUUAGAAAUGAGGACUUCAACUGUGCAGACUUGGGACUUUUCUGGCUUGAGAGGUGGUAUGCUCAGCCAUCAUUCACUCUCAAGGCACUGCAGAUGGUUGGCCCAGCAGAGGCAGACAUUACAGCUUCAGGGCUAAGUCCUUAACUCAUAUUUGCCUCUUGUACUUUGUAUUUAGCUUACGUGGAAAAUGGAUUUUGGAAUCAUUUGUUUCCUUCCUUGAAUUUGCAGGCUAAACUAAAAAACUGCAGGUCAUAUUUUGACUGGCUGGGGGAUGGGCUGGUGAGGAUGAGUGGAGGAAAUUUCAGCAGGCAAUUUGGCAGGUGAGCUGUGGCUUCUGGGGAACAUUUGUGCAAGUCUGAGCUUUGUGACAAUCCCUCAUUGCCUUUCGCCCUAAGUUUCUUUAAAUUUAUUUCUGUUGCUCCUUAGAUACACUUUAGAUAUAAAUAAUGUUUGUUCCUUCUCUCUAUAGUUCAAUAUAUCAUGAAUUCUUCCCUGGCUGACUCACCACUCUGAGGUUGACUUCUUAUCUAGUUAUCACAGAUCCACCACCUGCUCCUUUUUCCUACUUAAUUCUUUCCAUCAUUUUUCCUGCAGCUUGUAUCUUGACAUCUGUCUGGCUCAUGCUAGAAACUUCAGUCAUCCUUGGUCUGUGAUUCGUUCCACGUCCUGUCACUCACCCUCUUCCCCAACCAUUCCCAGGCUAUGUCCCUUUUUCUCCAUACUUUUGCUAGAGUCUCAUGAUCACUUACUCCCUUGACAGCAAAAGAUCCUAACUUGACCCUGAGAGUUCUGCAAGCCAGAAAUACCGUCUGUCUCACCUCUGAUAUAUCUCUGGUUUUCAUCCCACUGCUUGGAACAGAGUGACUGCUCCAGGUGUAUAAUUUGACUGAGUUAUAAGUCUUCCUUUUUCUGGGUUCAUACCCUCACUGCUCUGUUCCACAUCGUUAAUGACUCCCCAUCACCUAUAGACUAAAGCCCACACUACCAAACAUGGAUAUACAAGACUUUCAUUCAUUUGGCCAUGGAUUAACUUUACAUUGUAAUAUUAAUUUUCAUCUUCUAUCACUCUUAUACAUAAAUUCUCCAUUCCAAAUACUGAUAAUUUCUUGUUCUUCCCUAAACCGAAGGAGAGAACUGUUACCAGAAAGGAGUCUUGAUCUAGACCCCAAGAGAGGUUUCUUGGA
rnacentral:lncRNA from 1 species